CUCAUUAUGGUCGCCGCAAAUUUUUCAACAUGUUGAAAAAUUAGCGGCGACCAGAAUGAAGCCGCAAUGGAGAGUAGGGAGAAUUCUCGUGCCAUAGGUGAGUCGCCAGGUGGUCCUAGUCAGUUUAGGAGGUCGAAGG